GUACCUUAUAUUUAUAUAAGGUGGCACAGAAUCGGAGGCCCCGACUGUUUACUAAAAACACAACACAGUGCAAUCAUAAGUAUGGUAGUAUACUGUGUGAAAUUUGCCCGAUGCCAUUAAUAUAAGAAAAGUUAUGGAUUUGUUUAUUAAAACAAUACUGUGACCUAUCGAAAAUCUGGUUAAUAGCGGUCUUAUUCCUUGAGGAUCCUAAGGUAGCAAAAUCAAUUGGCCAUUAAAUGUGGUCCGGUAUCAAUAAUGUAACGAUGGUCUCACUGUCUCUACAACUUGCUCAGUGAAAUUGAAUUACGCGUGCAGAUGCGCGUUGCCUCCAGGGGGACGGGAAGACCCUAUGCAGC
rnacentral:rRNA from 1 species